UACGUAGGGAGCAAGCGUUGUCCGGAAUCAUUGGGCGUAAAGCGCACGUAGGCGGUUCGAUAAGUCGGAUGUGAAAGCCCUCGGCUCAACCAAGGAAGUGCAUUCGAAACUGUCGGACUUGAGUACGGGAGGGGGUUGCGGAAUUCCCGGUGUAGAGGUGAAAUUCGUAGAUAUCGGGAGGAACACCAGUGGCGAAGGCGGCAACCUGGACCGAUACUGACGCUGAGGUGCGAAAGCGUGGGGAGCAAACAGG
rnacentral:rRNA from 1 species